UUAGUGUUCCCAUCUUAGAGGGAGGAAAAUGAGGCUCAGAGAGAGGUUAAAUACCCUUCCAAAAGUCAGAUAGCAGAGAUGGGAAUCUGGAGGGCAAAGCCCUCAUUCUUAACCACACAAUCUUGUCCCCUCUUCCCUUACUGAGCCAGUAUUCCCAGAGGGCAGUCCUUAGGGGAAGAAGCUACAGGUCUCCCUUCUACAGUGUAGAUGGCUUGGAGGGGAGGAAUGGGGCACCUCCUCCACUGGGGUUCCAAUCCCAUCAUCACCCAGGGGCCCUGGGAAACUGGACCAGCCGGCAAGUGGACAAGGACUCCAAUUACCCCAGGAAGGUCGGAUGGAAGGCAUAGGGAAGGGGAGAUGCUGUCAGCUCAGCAAGCCUCUGGCUGGGAGAAUAAUUACACUUCUCUUGCAAUGCACUGUCCUAAGCCCUUGCCUGCAUCAUUUCGUUCACUGCGUGGAUUCUACGAGAGCCCUGCAAGGGAGUACUAUUAUUAUCCCCCAUUUUACAGCUGAGGAGACUUGAAGCACAGAAAA